rnacentral:rRNA from 1 species
UACAGAGGGUGCGAGCGUUAAUCGGAAUUACUGGGCGUAAAGCGUGCGUAGACGGUUACAUAAGUCGGGUGUGAAAGCCCCGGGCUCAACCUGGGAAUUGCAUUCGAGACUGCGUAGCUAGGGUGCGGAAGAGGGAAGCGGAAUUUCCGGUGUAGCGGUGAAAUGCGUAGAUAUCGGAAGGAACACCAGUGGCGAAAGCGGCUUCCUGGUCCAGCACCGACGUUCAGGCACGAAAGCGUGGGGAGCGAACAGG